rnacentral:rRNA from 1 species
CAGUCGCCGCGGUAAUACAGAGGGUGCGAGCGUUAAUCGGAUUUACUGGGCGUAAAGCGUGCGUAGGCGGCUUUUUAAGUCGGAUGUGAAAUCCCUGAGCUUAACUUAGGAAUUGCAUUCGAUACUGGGAAGCUAGAGUAUGGGAUAGGAUGGUAGAAUUCCAGGUGUAGCGGUGAAAUGCGUAGAUAUCUGGAGGAAUACCGAUGGCGAAGGCAGCCAUCUGGCCUAAUACUGACGCUGAGGUACGAAAGCAUGUGGAGCAAACAGGAUUAGAUACCCCCGUAGUCCCUGUCUCUUAUAC